ACGUGCACCACGUCGCCGCCUUCUACGAGGAUGUACUCUGCUCCGCGCGCGUCCCUUCUCCCUAUGGUUUCCAGGUCGUCUGUCUCCUCCUCACGGGCACCCCCGCCGCCAUGGGCUACUGCACCCAGGGGGUGCGGGUGCCCCGCCCGCGUAGCUGCCCAGGAUACACCACACGGCCUUCUUGAAGCCCGCUUCUGUCACAUCUGCAACAAGGAGGAGCCCACCCUGCCAGCAGCCAAGCUGCAAGCCAUGGUGUCGGUCAAAUGGUGUUCAAAAUAUAAAUGUCGGAGCUGCUACCUCAUUUGCAGCGAUUAAUUUCCCAGUGCUUCUCAUUGAUGAUUUCAGUACACCGGAAAAGAACCAAUCAUUCUCUAACGAGGUACCCACACAGCUGAAUUUUAAUCUAACAUAAUUUCUUAUAUCUGUCCAAGUUUAAGUCCCUGAAUUUAUUCAUGUUUGAUAGGACAUUAUACACACUUAUCACAUGUGUCACUUGCCUUUAAAUCAAAACUCUGUUGCAGUUUUCUUAUUCUAUAUGAGCAUUCAUGAAUCAUGCUUUUCUGAUUGCUUGGGAGUCAACUAAACUUUGAUAUUUAAACAAUCAGAAGUUGUAACUUGCAACACCAUAAAAUUGCACUUUCACUUUUCCAAUUAUACAAGAGAUUCGUCCUUGCUGUGAAUAUAUUUUGCCAGAUGGUACUCCUUUUUCUUUUCUCUAGCCUGACAUACGUCUUUGUGCUGCAGCAUUUUAACAGGGUUUCUAUCAUUUGUGAGACGAAGAAUCAGGAGUACAAAUGGAGAGAAGAAGCAUUUAGGAAAGGCUUCCCUUGCUUACCAACCACGUGAGCGAAACUAAUUUGUCUGAUAAUUUUAAUUUAUUUAGUAAGCCUAUGCAUACAGCCGCACAGACUUGUGCUGCUGAAUCAUACUUGUUUGGUGUGAUCUCUCCCUUCAGAUGAAACAAGAUGAGCAAGAAGAAGUUGAGCUAGAGGCAAAGGUCAACUGACGUGUUUUCUAUGUACCAUGAAGAUAGUAAAACUGAUGCAAUUUUAGUUGCAAUGGUUCUCGGUCAUGUACUAAAAUGGCCAUCUCAUGUUAUGUAACAUUUGAUAUGCAUGCAAGUGGAUCAGAAGGACCCAGAAAAUGGAUACCUUGCUGAAAUCCAUUUUCACCAUUAUAUUCAGAUGUGGGUGUGUAUUGCCAGAUAAAGUUAAUGUUGGCUUUAA